rnacentral:rRNA from 1 species
UACGUAGGGGGCGAGCGUUGUCCGGAAUCAUUGGGCGUAAAGCGCGUGUAGGCGGCUUGAUAAGUCCGGUGUGAAAUCUUGGGGCUCAACCCCAAGCCUGCAUCGGAUACUGUCUCGCUCGAGUUCGGGAGGGGAGAGCGGAAUUCCUAGUGUAGCGGUGAAAUGCGCAGAUAUUAGGAAGAACACCGGUGGCGAAGGCGGCUCUCUGGAACGAUACUGACGCUGAGACGCGAAAGCGUGGGGAGCGAACAGG